rnacentral:rRNA from 1 species
GAUGAACGCUGGCGGCGUGCCUAAUACAUGCAAGUCGAGCGAACGGACGAGAAGCUUGCUUUUCUGAUGUUAGCGGCGGACGGGUGAGUAACACGUGGAUAACCUACCUAUAAGACUGGGAUAACUUCGGGAAACCGGAGCUUAUACCGGAUAAUAUUUUGAACCGCAUGGUUCAAAAGUGAAAGAUGGUCUUGCUGUCACUUAUAGAUGGAUCCGCGCUGCAUUAGCUAGUUGGUAAGGAAACGGCUUACCAAGGCAACGAUGCAUAGCCGACCUGAGAGGGUGAUCGGCGACACUAGAACUGAGACACGGUCCAGACUCCUACGGGAGGCAGCAGUAGGGAAUCUUCCGCAAUGGGCGAAAACCUGGCAGAGCAACCCCGCGUGAGUGAUGAAGGUCUUGGGAUCGUAAAACUCUGUUAUUAGGGAAAAACAUCUGUGUACGUAGCUGUGCGCAUCUUGACGGUACCUAAUCAAAAAGCCACGGCUAACUACGUG